GGUGGGGACUGGUCCAAGGUCACACAGUGUGAGGGUGAAGCAAGGACUAGAGUAUGGGCGGUGGCUCCGAAGCCCAGCCUCAGCCACAUGGCUAGAGGAUGAAGUCCUCAUGCCUUAGCGGGCUGUUCAGCACCGUCCCCGGCCAGGCUCCACCGGACCCCCAUCAAACCUUCCUGCCUCUCCGCAGUGUGGGCAUGCACACAUACACACACACCUGUUCUCUAACCUCAGGGCCUCUGCACAGGCUGACUCCUGUGCCAGGGCUGCCCUCCGCUGCACUGAUUCGGUGCAGGCACGGCCUCCAGGGAAGCAUUCCUUAGACUGCAAAGGCCUCUUUGGCAGCCUGAGUCUCUCAGGUUAGCUUUCCUGUAGACUUGGCUAGACCAGGGUCCCAUUGUUUGCUCAAAGGCUAAUCUAGAUGUUGCCGUUAACUAUCCUGUGGACGUGAUUCACAUCUACCACCAGCUGACUUGAAGUAAAGCAGAUUGCCCUUCUUAAUGCCAGCAGGUCUCAUCUAAUCAGCUGAAGCCUUAAGAGAACAACUGAGGUUUCUCAGAGAAGAGAUUCUGCUUGAAGACCGAAUCGCAGAAAUCCUGCCCAAGUUGCCAGCUUGCCAGCUUGCCCUGCAGAUUUCGGACUUGCCAGCCCCCACAAUUGGUGAUCAGAAAUGACAGAAGAAACAAAGAGAUUUACCACAGAAACUACAAGCAAGCCGAUUAUCACUGUGGCCCUGGCAUCUCAAAGUGACAGAGGGAAUAGAUGGCCUGGUGAAAAGUGGUGUUACUCUCAUCUGAGACAAAAGUCACCUGGAGAAGAAAGGGGCCCUGGAUCUUUGGGAGCCCCAGAGGCUUGUGAGCAUCUGUGGGAGCUGCUGGGCUAGGGUCUCGGUCCUGGUAUCGAUCCCGAGUUCCGGGACUCAAAGCUCUGCUGGAGUUGCUUCUGGCCCACCUUACCGGGUGCACCUGCCAGGGCCUGGCCACAGAAUGCAGCGGGGCACAGAGCCCAGCCUGCUAAGCCUGCAGAGGUGCCGAUGACACAACAGCUGUGCUUCUCCCCCAAGAGGCUAUUGGAGCACCUCAGGAUCCCUGGCAUGCAAGGCCUGGCAUAGGAAGCAGCAGACAGAGAUGGGAGGAUAGGGAAGAACAGCCCCUGGCUCUGCAGAUGAACAGAGUGGGGAGGGUCUGGCCUGCACCCCCCUCUCUGCCACUUAUGAGCUGUGUGACCUGAAACAAUUUCCUCCACCUCCCUGGGACUCCCUUUCCCCAACUGUAGGAUAGAGUAGGGAUAUGGAAAGGCCUUGACAUGACCUGAAACUCUUCCUUCAGGUUAGGUUUGUACCUGAUGAGAUCAUGUAUGUAAAGUAUGGAAUCCUGAUACAGAUCCCAUAUCACAGAGGAGGAAGCAAAGGCUCAGAGGCAUAGGGUGACCCACCUGAAGUCACCAGAGAAACAUGGAGUUUGGGUUUCCUUCUCGGGUCUAACUUAAAUGCUUGUGCUUAAAAGGAGAUUGGGGAGAUAAGAUUUGCUAACAUGGCUGGAGCAUAGUAAGGACUCGAUGUCUAGGAGCUAUUUGUUCAUUUUCUCCCCAUCGCCAUCCACUCUGUUGGGUCAGGCCCCUGCUGGCUCCUGGUGGGACCCAAAGACCCUCCCCUUCCCCCAUGCUCAGGGACCUCACAAUUUGAUUAGAUAGACAAGACCAAGAACCAUGAAACAGAAAGGCAAAAUAGCAGACAGGAAAUAAGCCCUAAAUGUGUGGGCUACCACAAAAGGACAAAGUAACGUUGGUUGCUUUUUCCCCUCCUCUGUUUCAGCUUACGGGGUCAGGAACAUUCUUCGUUAUCAAUUGGAGCUUCAGGAGGCCAUAGAGGCUCAGAGCGUGGGCUAUAGGGCCGGCUGCAUCCCUUACAUGUUGGUUUGUGUGAGCCUGUCUCUUCUGCGACAGGUGACAAUGGUUCCCACUUUCCAGGGCCAUCAGGAUAUCUGACCGAGCCCACCAGCCGGGUGAGCAUGACCUCGUGCUGAGUACACAGAGGUCGGGUGGAAUGGUGGGGAAGCCUAGAAACAGGGGAGGCUGGCUAGGAAGCCUCCAACCCCAGAGGUGCAGAAGAGGUGGAGGCAGACGAUGAAGGAGGGAAUGUAAAGAGAACAGAAGAGCAGUGGGCAGAGAAGGUGCUGAGGGACGAGCAUGGGGGAGGAGGGUGUCCUGGGCACAGAGCCCUCCCCUUCUCUCCCACAGCCACCAGUGUGUGAGUCACCCCACGGCCUCCAUCCCUGCAGAACCUCCGAAAUGGCUGCCUCCUGAUGCCCAUGCCAUAAUCAACAUUUAUUUUGCAGUCACCCACACGCCCAACUCGAGAACGGAUUUAUGCCAGGAGAGGAGUAAAAAAUGCCUCUCAUUCACGUAAAGCCUUCAUGCAUCUCCUGGGCGGGGAGGGACAGCUGGCCCAACAUUUAGGCUGACAGUCUACACAUGCAGACAUCACACAUGCACACCGUCCACACAGGCUAUAAUCAGAGGCAAGCAGGAGUGAUGUGCAAAUCCAUUCUUAGUCACCUUCAUGCAGCAAGAUGGACGGGACCCACUCGAGGGGUGGGAGCCCAGUGUGCAUAUACACGCUUGUGGACUCUGCACAGUGGCCGGGGAGGAAUGUACAUGGGGGUGGAGGGAACCUACAGUGCAGCUGUGAGAUAAGAGUUUAGGCAAGAGGUUGGCAGGAAAGGUGGGAUGGGCAUCCCAGCUGGGGGAAGUGCUGGGUCUGUCUGGCCCCGGGAGCCAAUGUAGUGGGCCAAGGUGGGCCUUAUCCACAAGCUGGAGGAGAGGUAGGGGGAAUCCUGAAAGGCAGAGCCAGGAGAGGCCCUUGGCUGCAGGUCCCUAGCGGCAGGGAUGGAUCCACCGACUCAGAAGAAGUUGCCCCAAGAGGCUAGCUCUGCCCAGUGCACUAUCUGGUUUCCUCUUAAAUCUAGAUCACAGGGCAGCCUGGGUGGCUCAGCGGUUUACCGCUGCCUUCAGCCCAGGGCAUGAUCCUGGAGACCCUGGAUCAAGUCCCACGUCAGGCUCCCUGCAUGGAGCCUGCUUCUCCCUCUGCCUGUGUCUCUGCCUCUCUGUCUCUCUGUCUCUCAUGAAUAAAUAAAUCUUGGAAAAAAAAAAAUCUAGAUCACAAAGGAUGAUAAUCGGGCUCCUGAAGCCUCAUCUGCAGAGCGGUGAGCUCCAGAGCAUGGAUCCCCAGGUGCAAAAAUUCAAAUGCAUGUGGUGCUGUGACCCAAGGGCCAAAAUGACUUUAGUAGAGGUGACAGUUAUAAAACAAGCAAAUAUCUGGCCUUCACCAGAGGCGUCUGUGGUCCAACUUGAGGGCUUCCUCCCCACUAUCCUGUGGGAUGUGGAGUCAGUCUCACUGCUGCCUGGCUGAAUGGCCUUGGGUGACUUGCUUCAUUGCUCGGAGCCUCAGUAUUUGCUCAACUGUAAAAUGGGGAUGCCAGCUGCCUACCCCACAGAAUGGUAGAGAAGAUUAAAUAAGUUCUUAAAGAUCUUAAAUAAGAAAGUACCUGGCAUGCAGGCUGGCAUUUGGUAAAUGGUGCUUUUUGGGUCUCACCGCUACAAUAUAAGUGCACACACAAUGUGAAUCACCUAGGACCCUAAAGUAUCUGGCAUGUACUCAUUAGUACUAAAAAUACGCUCUUACCACUCCCAUGAAUUAGCAUGACCACUUGGAAAAAGCAUCUGCUAUUGUGAAGGAGAAAAAGUAGCCAAAUUGUCGGAGGAGAGAGGCUGAAACAAACUUGGCUUUAUGGAAGGUUCUAGCUUAGUUCUCAGCCCACAGAGGAGCCCCUGGCUUGUCUGGGGAUGGGUGUUCCCGACCACUGUGCUUGUAGGCCAUGAGGGUCCCUAGGGCCCCAGGACCCAGAGUAGAGCCCUUGGAGAGGCAGGUAAGGCUUGGCCUGGUAGGACACGGAAGCCCUCCUUGUAGGUGCCAGACAUCGCCUUUUUUCUGAAACUUUACAAUCCGUCAAGGCAGCUCCAAAGAUCAAAUUCCCACACAAAUCACAAAACCCAACUCUUCCCAUGCAUGUAG